rnacentral:lncRNA from 1 species
CACAAGAGUCUGGACUCUAGGUAUUAUUUAACUAAAUGGUAGAAAUCCUUUUGAACUCUCUGUGUAAAUCACUUCUUUCUACUUACUUGCUGUGCUUCUCUGAGUGCCUCGUGGCCUCUUUAUCACCACCUGUUGAAGGAAAUGUUAGAUCCAGAUAUGGAUGGAAGGGACUUUCGUAGCUAUAGAAACGAGGACUGAUUGGCACAAAGUUCCUGGGCUCUCCAGCCACAGUCGUCAUUUGGAAGGGAAUUCUAAGUCACCAGAGAGCUAACACUUAUUCUUGGGAGAAUGUAAGAGCAAAUCCUCCUUACGCUGCCAAACUGGCACAGGAUACUGCAGCCACUCUGCAAAUGAACAGUGCACAAUAAACAGGCCGAGAGAGAAAGCUUAAAGUUCUAAAAGCCCUCUUGAGGGAAGUGAGAAGGCAGUUCCUGGGAACAGUGAACAAAUGCCGUCAGAAGGUGGAAUCAUUGAUUUCAAUCAUGAAUGACUAAUGAUCGUGAUGGUGUGGUUUAGAACAGAAAUGCAGCUUCUACAGCCUGAAGAACUACCAGCCUUCUCUCCUGUGAUGUUCCAUUUAUACUUGCUUAAUAAAAGCAUCCCAAUAAAUUAGACCAUCUCACGUUUGUUUAAAUUUGUACAUUUCUCAUUCAUGAAGUAUCUACCCAUGAAUCCAGUUUUCAUUUUCAUUUGCCAUGCCUCUAAGACUUUUUUUACUCAACUAAGGAUGGCUGAUACAUGUAUAAGGUUUGGGUAAGAUAAAUACUAUGUAUGCAGCUGAGCUGUUGGUAUCUUCAUGUCAAAGCGCCCAGUGACUUUUGGCAUGCCUGUUUGAUUGAUUCACGCAUUUGCUGUCACUAG